rnacentral:lncRNA from 1 species
ACAGACUAUCUUAUAAGCUUAACCAAAAAUGCGAAAUUUUUCUAAGGCAUAUUUUUAUAACGAUGGGGCAAUGAGAUAAAAUUUCAAUGGCACCUGGUUUUUCUUAAAGACUGUAUCACGGACGCAUCUAACUUUAUUAAUUUUGGUUUCAGACCUUACUGUGUCUGCUUUAUUCACACAGACGGUCAUUUAUAAAUUGCAAAUUCCACCAUUAGCACAAAAGACUGCUAAAAUAGUAGCAUCGUAGUGUUCUAUAGAAUUUCAAUCAACUGAUUAUGUUUCUAAUUGUAACCCUGUUUUUUACUCAAUGGAUUACUUCUAGCUGUUGUUAUGUUCUUAAUAUUCAAAAUGAUGACAGUUUUGAUCUCAUUCCCGCAACUGAAACCCUCGAUAUAAAAACAAAUAUAUAUCCAUUUAUGACUUUUUCGGGCGAUCAACGAGAUGAUGGUGAAUUUAUGAAAUCUCUAGUAGGAGACAUGAUGGAUCAGAAACAACAGUCCCAGUAUCUAGAAGUGCUGCAGCAGGCCGUGGAAAAAGAACUCAAUAUUUUAAUGCCUAAUUUUAAUACAAAUGAUGAAAUAUAUCAAGAAGCUAAAUUAGAUGCCAUUGCAAUAGCUCUCGAAAAUGCUUUCUUAAAAACAACCGGAUAUAUAAACUGGCCAAUGCUCUACUCUAUGUUAAAGCAGAUACAACAGCAAGUUUCUGACAAGCAAAUCGUUACCAACUAUUAUGAAUCAAAUCAGCAAAAUUUUACUUUAGGUUACAACAGAUUUCCAUUUGCCGACAUCAGUAUUUAGAAAUUUCAUCAUCUCACACAACAAGCAGUUUCGAAGGAAGAAGAAACUGAAGAUUAAUAUGGACAAGGAUGUCUCGAGAGCAUAAGAUGAAAAUCUUUCCUCCACCUUUCUACACAAUUCUUAGAAAAAUAAUUUUAAACAAUGACUCAACAAAAAUUGGAAAGAAAACUAUGAAUACAUUACAUAAGCUUAUAGCCACAAACCUGUCUGGUAACUUCAAGGAUAAAAUAGAAACAACGAACGGUCACAAGGACAGCUGUUUGUUUUACUGCGCAGUCUGGGGAAAUGACAAUGUUUCUGAGUAACAGUAGAUUAAAUUUUUAUUGUUUAUUUCAGAAUAAGUUACUUUUUGAUAACUAUGCGUUUAGUAAUCAAUCCUUAAAUUAAUAUAACACAUUUUUUUAUUAUUUUUUAUUAAAUGAAAAAUUUUAAAUCUUGGACGUAUUUGUAUUUAUAAUUGAUGCAAUAUUUAUUACAAUAGCUUUUUUUAAUAUAAUAGAAUUCAAUAUGAUAAAUCUCGAAAAUUAUUUUCGUAUAAAUAUUUUUGCUUGCUGUAACUGAUUUAUUAUAACUUAAACUGCAGUUUUCUGAAAAUGAUUCAAAUUUAUCAUCUAUAAUAAAAGCAUAUAAAUGUAAAAAAAUAUUUAAAAUUUUUAUGACGUCUGUUAAACAUUUGAGGGCAAAAUUGUUUUAAGGGGAUUCUAUUCUUUUAUAACGAGUUUAAUUAAAUGUAGUACUACAUAUUAAACAUAAAAAAUGUCAUUGGAAAAGUAAAAUAUUUUAAUCCUGCAUAGCAUUUACUCUGAAUGUUUUUUUUUUUAAAUUUAUAUGUUAUUACUUCAAAACAGAAACUGUUUUAUGUAAUAUUUGUCAUUAUUUAUUAAGUAACCUUUAUCACAGCUUUAUUAAUGAGUACAAUAAUAUUUUUCAAAUACCAAAAACUUUUCAAACGAAAUAGUUAUGACAUUACAUUGCUUAUGAAUUAUCAUUUAUGCUAAAGUUUUUAAAAUUUACUUCAAUGAAUUUUUUUCCAUCUGAAAUUAUAAUUUUUGUUGUUUUCAUGUUGCCAUUUUUGCUACUGAAUUAGUUCAACACAUGAUAAAUUAAUUAAGAUUUAAUGUAAUAAAGUGAGGGGAAAAUAAUGGAAUUAUGUUGCAGGACAUUAGUCAGAUAUUAAAUGUCGUAAAUGAAUUUCCUUGUUUUCCGUUUCAUAUUUAAUCUAUAGUUUGCUUCAGAAUAGAAUAGAAUGCUUCAUAGAAUGCUUUUUAUGUGCGGUAUAUUAAACAAAUAAAUAAAUAAAUAAAUAAGGUAGUUCUUUCAUUGCUUGUUGAUCAAAAAUUACUUCGAAAAUGAUUAAAAGUUGCAAAAAAAGUUAACCUCGUUUCGUACUCGAAUACAUAUAAGAAGUGAAUUAUCAUUUCUUUAAAAAAUUCCGAACUGCAUUCAUAUUUUGUUUUUUAAUACCUAGCCAUACAUAAAUUUAAAUAAACUGAUCUAAAGUUAACAUAACAAAAAUUCAUUUAAUUCUUUUGUUUGUAAUGUCACUGUCAUAUUGUUGUUUCGUAAUGCCUGCUAUUAGAACUAGUAUUAUUGAGCUUGCUUUGAUUUUUUUUAUCAAUUUUAGUAUUUUAAUUGCAAUAUUCAGAAGUUUUUAAUAGGUACUGAGUAUUCCUGAAAAACAAAAUGUUCUAUGCUUACAUAAGUAUAGCAAUUCCAUGUUUAUAUAGCUACAGAAACUCUAUGUUUACAUAAGUAUCAUUUUAUAUAAAGUACAGAAAGAUUUCAAGAUGAACUUAGUUAGAUAUGACUAAAGUUCAAAACCUUAAAAUUCAAGAAAUCCACAAUAAUCAUAUAUUCGCAAAUAUGAUAGUAAUCUACAGACAUUUAAAUGAUAUAAAUUCAUAAUUUUUAUGAAAGUUUGCGAUAUUAUUCUAAUUUAUAAAUGGUGUUUCAAAUGUUAUUACGUACUUCGGGACUAAUUAAUUAGGUUUGUUUUAGCAUUAAAUAUUGAGCUUUAAUGCCAAUAGUGAACUGGUUUAUGCUAUGCAUUCACUAUAAAUAGUUACGUAUACUUUUCAUUACCAUCUAUAAAAGCACACAAAAUUCUUUUAUAUGCAUUUUAUUGCAUGUUUUCAUAAUUAUACUUGCUUUUCAGGGAUGCAUUAUGAUUGCAUUUAAAAGUAUUGAAUACGAUAUGUACGUCCAUAUUCAUAAAUUAAGGUUAUCUCUGUGCAAGAAAAUACUUUAAAAAAAAAAAAAAAAAAAAAAAAAAAAAAAAAAAA